rnacentral:rRNA from 1 species
AACGAACGCUGGCGGCGCGCCUAAUACAUGCAAGUCGAGCGAGAAGACGUAGCAAUACGUUUGUAAAGCGGCGAACGGGUGAGGAAUACAUGGGUAACCUACCCUCGAGUGGGGAAUAACUAGCCGAAAGGUUAGCUAAUACCGCGUACGCUCCUUGGACUUCGGUUCAGGGAGGAAAGCGAUACCGUGGGUAUCGCGCUCUUGGAUGGGCUCAUGUCCUAUCAGCUUGUUGGUGAGGUAACGGCUCACCAAGGCUUCGACGGGCAGCUGUUCUGAGAGGACGAUCAGCCACACUGGCACUGCGACACGGGCCAGACUCCUACGGGAGGCAGCAGUAAGGAAUAUUGCGCAAUGGGCAAAGCCUGACGCAGCGACGCCGCGGUGGGGGAUGAAGGUCUUCGGUAUUGUAAACCCCUUUCGGGAGGGAAGAUGGAACGAGCAAUCGUUCGGACGGUACCUCCA